rnacentral:rRNA from 1 species
UGGGCAACCUGCCCUCAGCUCUGGGAUAACUCCAAGAGAUUGGGGCUAAUACCGGAUGUGACCGCUGACCGCAUGGUCUGGUGGUGGAAAGAUUUAUCGGCUGGGGAUGGGCCCGCGGCCUAUCAGCUUGUUGGUGGGGUAGUGGCCUACCAAGGCGACGACGGGUAGCCGG